GUAACACGUGGGUAACCUACCUAUAAGACUGGAAUAACUCCGGGAAACCGGGGCUAAUGCCGGAUAACAUGUUGAACCGCAUGGUUCAACAGUGAAAGACGGUCUUGCUGUCACUUAUAGAUGGACCCGCGCCGUAUUAGCUAGUUGGUGGGGUAACGGCCUACCAAGGCGACGAUACGUAGCCGACCUGAGAGGGUGAUCGGCCACACUGGAACUGAGACACGGUCCAGACUCCUACGGGAGGCAGCAGUAGGG
rnacentral:rRNA from 1 species